GCCAUAGCUCAGUGGUAGAGCAUCUGUUUUGCAUGCAGAAGGUCACAUGUUCAAUCCCCAGCAUCUCCAGGUCAGGCU